AAACUGCGAUAAUUAUUGCGAACUGCAGAAGUAUUGAGCACAAAAGUUUUGAACGCAAAUGGCCGCAUUGAGGUCAAACUCUUUGCAACGUCUGGUUCAGGGUCAUUUUCUCUUAUAGCGGAAGCUUUAAUUUCUAUAAUGAUGUUGUUGCUUUAUAUUUUAAAAGGAUUUUUGUUUAUUCAUGUAUUAAAUCUAACUGUGAAAAUCAAACAAUUUUGACCUGAACUCAGUCGAGAGCACCCGCUGAACUUAAGC
rnacentral:misc_RNA from 1 species